rnacentral:rRNA from 1 species
CGGCACGGGUGAGUAACACGUGAGUGACCUGCCUUUUAGACUGGAACAACUUACCGAAAGGUGAGCUAAUGCCGGAUGAGUUAUAUAAGUGCAUGUUUAUAUAGGAAAGUUGGGAGACCUGACGCUGAAAGAUGGACUCGCGUCCCAUUAGCUAGUUGGUAGGGUAAUGGCCUACCAAGGCGACGAUGGGUAGCCGGCCUGAGAGGGUGGCCGGCCACACUGGGACUGAGACACGGCCCAGACUCCUACGGAAGGCAGCAG